rnacentral:rRNA from 1 species
AUUGAACGCUGGCGGCAGGCCUAACACAUGCAAGUCGAGCGGGGUUUUCGGACCUAGCGGCGGACGGGUGAGUAAUGCGUAGGAAGCUACCCGAUAGAGGGGGAUACCAGUUGGAAACGACUGUUAAUACCGCAUAAUGUCUACGGACCAAAGUGUGGGACCUUCGGGCCACAUGCUAUCGGAUGCGCCUACGUGGGAUUAGCUAGUUGGUGAGGUAAUGGCUCACCAAGGCGACGAUCCCUAGCUGGUUUGAGAGGAUGAUCAGCCACACUGGAACUGAGACACGGUCCAGACUCCUACGGGAGGCAGCAGUGGGGAAUAUUGGACAAUGGGCGCAAGCCUGAUCCAGCCAUGCCGCGUGUGUGAAGAAGGCCUUCGGGUUGUAAAGCACUUUCAGUAGGGAGGAAGGGUGUUGUGUUAAUAGCACAGCAUUUUGACGUUACCUACAGAAGAAGCACCGGCUAACUCUGUGCCAGCCGCCGCCGUAAAAC